GAUGAACGCUAGCUACAGGCUUAACACAUGCAAGUCGAGGGGAAACGGCAUCGAAAGCUUGCUUUUGAUGGGCGUCGACCGGCGCACGGGUGAGUAACGCGUAUCCAACCUGCCCAUCACUUGGGAAUAACCUUGCGAAAGUAAGACUAAUGCCCAAUGACAUCCCACGAAGGCAUCCGAAUGGGAGUAAAGAUUUAUCGGUGAUGGAUGGGGAUGCGUCUGAUUAGCUUGUUGGCGGGGUGACGGCCCACCAAGGCAACGAUCAGUAGGGGUUCUGAGAGGAAGGUCCCCCACAUUGGAACUGAGACACGGUCCAAACUCCUACGGGAGGCAGCAGUGAGGAAUAUUGGUCAAUGGGCGAGAGCCUGAACCAGCCAAGUAGCGUGCAGGAUGACGGCCCUAUGGGUUGUAAACUGCUUUUAUAAGGGAAUAAAGUGGGUCACGUGUGACUUUUUGCAUGUACCUUAUGAAUAAGGACCGGCUAAUUCCGUG
rnacentral:rRNA from 1 species